GACGAACGCUGGCGGCGUGCUUAACACAUGCAAGUCGAACGGAAAGGCCCUGCUUUUGUGGGGUGCUCGAGUGGCGAACGGGUGAGUAACACGUGAGUAACCUGCCCUUGACUUUGGGAUAACUUCAGGAAACUGGGGCUAAUACCGGAUAGGAGCUCCUGCUGCAUGGUGGGGGUUGGAAAGUUUCGGCGGUUGGGGAUGGACUCGCGGCUUAUCAGCUUGUUGGUGGGGUAGUGGCUUACCAAGGCUUUGACGGGUAGCCGGCCUGAGAGGGUGACCGGCCACAUUGGGACUGAGAUACGGCCCAGACUCCUACGGGAGGCAGCAGUGGGGAAUAUUGCACAAUGGGCGGAAGCCUGAUGCAGCAACGCCGCGUGCGGGAUGACGGCCUUCGGGUUGUAAACCGCUUUCGCCUGUGACGAAGCGUGAGUGACGGUAAUGGGUAAAGAAGCACCGGCUAACUACGUGCCAGCAGCCGCGGUGAUACGUAGGGUGCGAGCGUUGUCCGGAUUUAUUGGGCGUAAAGGGCUCGUAGGUGGUUGAUCGCGUCGGAAGUGUAAUCUUGGGGCUUAACCCUGAGCGUGCUUUCGAUACGGGUUGACUUGAGGAAGGUAGGGGAGAAUGGAAUUCCUGGUGGAGCGGUGGAAUGCGCAGAUAUCAGGAGGAACACCAGUGGCGAAGGCGGUUCUCUGGGCCUUUCCUGACGCUGAGGAGCGAAAGCGUGGGGAGCGAACAGGCUUAGAUACCCUGGUAGUCCACGCUGUAAACGGUGGGUACUAGGUGUGGGGUCCAUUCCACGGGUUCCGUGCCGUAGCUAGCGCUUUAAGUACCCCGCCUGGGGAGUACGGCCGCAAGGCUAAAACUCAAAGGAAUUGACGGGGCCCCGCACAAGCGGCGGAGCAUGCGGAUUAAUUCGAUGCAACGCGUAGAACCUUACCUGGGUUUGACAUGGAUCGGGAGUGCUCAGAGAUGGGUGUGCCUCUUUUGGGGUCGGUUCACAGGUGGUGCAUGCCUGUCGUCAGCUCGUGUCGUGAGAUGUUGGGUUAAGUCCCGCAACGAGCGCAACCCUUGUUCACUGUUGCCAGCACGUUAUGGUGGGGACUCAGUGGAGACCGCCGGGGUCAACUCGGAGGAAGGUGGGGAUGACGUCAAGUCAUCAUGCCCCUUAUGUCCAGGGCUUCACGCAUGCUACAAUGGCUGGUACAGAGAGUGGCGAGCCUGUGAGGGUGAGCGAAUCUCGGAAAGCCGGUCUCAGUUCGGAUUGGGGUCUGCAACUCGACCUCAUGAAGUCGGAGUCGCUAGUAGUCGCAGAUCAGCAACGCUGCGGUGAAUACGUUCCCGGG
rnacentral:rRNA from 1 species